UGAACUUCAUCAUAAUGCAGAUGCCUUGACGGAGGACAGUGAAAAGCAAGUGGAGUUUGGGAUUGGUGGUCUUUGCAAUUGUUGUCUUGAUAAAGAAAUCAAGCAGCAAGUUAUUGACCAUGGUGGUGUUGCUCUUGUUAUCAAUUGUUUGUCAAGGUAACUGAUUAUAGUUUAACUGACUUUAAUUGAUAAAAAACAAUUCAAUGAACAGCGAACAAACGCCAAAGAAAAAAGUUACUUAUGUCAGUGACGGUUUUCAGUAUACAGAAAAAACAGUGUCAUUACCGCUUUUUGCAUUGCUACGCGGCCACCCCAGACAAAAAUCGCGACGUGCACUUUGCAAUAGACUACCGUCAAUCAAACACGCGUUUUGAUCGGCCCGGAUAGGCCCGGUGAGUGUGGCUCAUAAUACUUGUAAACGAUCGAUAAGUUUUGGCGCCUUUCGAAUCACACAUGCGUGUAAAUGAUGUCAACUUAUUUGAUUGACGGCAGUCUAUUUCAAAAUUGACGUCGCGAUUUUUUUCUGGGGUGGCUGCGUGGCAAUGCAAAUGGCAGUAAAGUGCCUAUGACCUUUAUUUUAUUAUUUUGUUAUAUAAAAAUGUAAGCUAUUCUAAGAAACAUGUUGAAAGAAUUUUUUGAUACUCAAGCUUCUUUCAGUUUUUUUCGAGCAGUCAAACUCCAGCCGCAUGAAAUGAUAACCGAGGGGACUGGGCUGUGAUGUCAAAGGAGGAAGCUGGUUUUGGAUGCGUCCUUAUUCUCUCUAGAUUUCACUAAUAUUUAUGACCAAUUUGUCGUUUUUUACUCUUCCAAAAGCCGUCAUUGUUGUGGCUAGAAGAGGUUAAGGACUUCAAAAUUUAGGAAUAAAAUUAUUUUUGAGGUAUUUUAAGAAAAAGAGAAGCAGUUAAACAGAACCUAGGAAAAACCUCACAUUAGGUUGUCACACGCAGAAUAAAGUGUAAUAAAGUAGCUUCAAAAACUU